CUGAGAAAGAGAAGCGGGAGGUGUCAGAGGACUGGGUGACAGCAGGUACCCGCUCUGGUCGUUGUCUAUGAACCGGAAAACAUCCUUCACCUGAUUGGCUGACAUCUUGGAGAGGCCUGAUGUCUGGAAGAAUUUUUGGGGUUCAAAAGUGUCUGGGUCUGAAGAACAGAGAAUUGGUUAUUCUGACGCUUGUUGGAUCACAUUCUAUGUUGGGGCCAAGGUACUAAAAACACAGAUAAUUAAAAACACUUCAACAAUAUCCCUGAGCUACGGGGAUGCUCAACUGGUCCAAGAUUUUGGGACAGCCAAGACUUGAUGGCUCUGUGAUGGCAUCCCAUGUCCCCUCCGCCCCAGUCUUCCCUCCUCCACUUGGUUUUGUCCAUUUUCCUUUUCCCUCCUCAUCUCUUCUGUGCCUCCCCCUCCCCCUGGCCCACUUUACAGGCUGUGUGGCUGAGCCCCCAGCAUCCCUGGUCUAAUUGGUAGGGGGAAAUGCAAUCACUGGAUUUCAACAGGCUAAAUGGCCUUUGGCGCUUUUUUUUUUUUUUUUUUUUUUUUUUUUUUUUUUGAGACAGAGUCUCACUCUGUCACCAGGCUGGAGUGCAGUGGCGUGAUCUCGGCUCACUGCAACCUCUGCCUCCCGGGUUCAACUGAUUCUCCUGCUUCAGCCUCCCAAGUAGCUGAGAUUACAGGUGUGCACCCCCAUGCCCAGCUCAUUUUUGUAUUUUUAAUAGAGACAGGGUUUUGCCAUGCUGGCCAGGUUGGUCUUGAACUCCUGACCUCAAGUGAUGCACCGGCCUCGGCCUCCCAAAGUGUUGGGAUUACAGGUGUGAGCACGACACCUGGCCUUUCAGUGAUGUCUUGCUUUCAUGUUUAGUAGGUUUCUUUUGUCUUACAGAUGUGUAAUCGUGUGCUCAGAUCCC
rnacentral:lncRNA from 10 species